rnacentral:rRNA from 1 species
GACGAACGCUGGCGGCGUGCUUAACACAUGCAAGUCGAACGGAAAGGCCCUGCUUUUGUGGGGUGCUCGAGUGGCGAACGGGUGAGUAACACGUGAGUAACCUGCCCUUGACCUUGGGAUAACUUCAGGAAACUGGGGCUAAUACCGGAUAGGAGCUCCUGCUGCAUGGUGGGGGUUGGAAAGUUUCGGCGGUUGGGGAUGGACUCGCGGCUUAUCAGCUUGUUGGUGGGGUAGUGGCUUACCAAGGCUUUGACGGGUAGCCGGCCUGAGAGGGUGACCGGCCACAUUGGGACUGCGAGACGGAGCAGAAUCCUACGGGAGGCAGCAGUGGGGAAUAUUGCACAAUGGGCGGAAGCCUGAUGCAGCAACGCCGCGUGCGGGAUGACGGCCUUCGGGUUGUAAACCGCUUUGGACUGUGACGAAGCGUGCGUGACGGUAAUGGGUAAAGAAGCACCGGCUAACUACGUG